UCAGUAGGUGGCAGAGAGAAGAGAAGCUACGUCUAAGCUUGGUGUUCUGACCUGUGAACAUCUGAAUCAUUAUAGCCUAACACU
rnacentral:snoRNA from 1 species